rnacentral:rRNA from 1 species
GACGAACGCUGGCGGCGUGCUUAACACAUGCAAGUCGAACGAUGAAGCCCAGCUUGCUGGGUGGAUUAGUGGCGAACGGGUGAGUAACACGUGGCAACCUGCCCCAAACUCUGGGAUAACUCCUCGAAAGAGGUGCUAAUACCGGAUACGAACUAGACAGACCUCUGUACUAGUUGGAAAGGUUUUCGGUUUGGGAUGGGCCCGCGGCCUAUCAGCUUGUUGGUGAGGUAACGGCUCACCAAGGCUACGACGGGUAACCGGCCUGAGAGGGCGACAGGUCACACUGGGACUGAGACACGGCCCAGACUCCUACGGGAGGCAGCAGUGGGGAAUAUUGCGCAAUGGGCGAAAGCCUGACGCAGCGACGCCGCGUGAGGGAUGAAGGUCUUCGGAUCGUAAACCUCUUUCAGUAGGGACGAAGCGAAAGUGACGGUACCUAAAGAAGAAGCACCGGCUAACUACGUGCCAGCCGCCGCAGUAA